ACAAUCUCUGAGGUCCAUAGAUCUCAGGUCUGCGUGAAAUUGUCUCAGCUAGGCCUAAAGUCACCGGGCCGCCCGAGCCUCCCUCUCAAGGAGCCUGGAUCUUAGCCUGAGAGAUGAAGAAAGCCACUACGGGGUAUUGAUCCAGGAGGGGACAUGAGGGAAUUAUGGUUUUCAAAAGCUCACUCAGGCUGAGGUGUGAAGAGCCUGGCUUGUACGAGUAAAAGCAUGGAAAUAGAGUGGCUAGUUAGGUAACCGCGGUGGCCACCAUCCAGAAAGAGCUGACGACAGCGACUGAUUUAUCGGAACUUCUCUGGAAGCCUGUCUUAAAGUUCUAUUUCUCUGAACCAGUAAGGGCUGAUAAUAAUGGGUGGCCUCCAACCGUCAGAUGGGAAGAGGGGAACGGCUUGUGUGCACGCAGCUGCACAAGCACAAACCAAGCUGACAGAUCCCAUUAACCUGAAGAGAAAAAAGCCAAGGGCAGGCAGGAUAGAAGCAGAACUUAGCCCCUGGAAGGAAAACCCCACCUCUCUGACUCACUGACCCUCCCAUUGGCUCAGGCAUGCUGGGAGUGGGAGGGAUUGCCUGUCCGGGAUUCCGUGGGCUGUCUUAGCAAAAGUUCAUUCCAACUUUCCUGAUGUAGAGACAGUCUUCCAAAUUGGAAAAGCCAUCCUUGAACUAUCUGGCUAGGAUGUGAACUGUCAAGAAAGCAUUGGGGAGCCCUGGAGGUGUCUAAAGGGGGGAUCUCUGCCUUUUUAGGUUUGCUGACUUCUUUUUUAACAACAUAGAUAGCCCUGGGCUUUUUACUUUCAGGAAUGGUGCAUAGGGUUUUCAUCUCGCAGGGACAGAGGGUGGCAGGGACAUAUUGGCGAAGUCUGCCAGCCUCCACAUUAAGAGAGUAACUUUAGAUAGGGCGGUCUAGCCAUUCCUUGGUUUACCUUCUCUUCACAAUAUAGGAAUAAGCAGGCUCUGUCUGCCAGCCCUAAUUGAUCCCGCUCCACCCUAUUGCAUGCAGAACGGAGGAUAUUAGCACCUGCCUCUUAUCAACAAGGGGAGACUAAGUCCCCACCUUGCUGCUUACAAAUGUAUAUGACAUACUGCCUACAGGCUAACACCAUUUGCAGAAUAUUUGAGAGCCUCCUAGUUUCCAGCAGUCACUAAUGAUAGGUGCUACAAGUGAAAUGGUUAACAAAUUGUGUGAAUCACUUCUAUAGGAACAACCCAGAAUGAAACUUGUACCAGUGUCCUGUUUAUACCAUUCCUCCCUGCAGAUGGAGCAACUACCUCAUCUCCUAUCCUCUGACCCAGUUUGUGGGGUUGUAUUCUGACCUUCAGCUUCCCAGACACCAACAAAGUAAUCUUGGAUACAUUCCGCUCACCACCACAGAGCCUUGGGCUCAUGUGACCUGUGUUCCCUGCUGGGCCUGCUUUCUGAGUGCUAAGAUUGACCUUAUAGUCCCCUGAACCUCCUGUGCCCUGUUGCCUACCUGGACAUUGCUUGAGUCAGAUCCCAGAUGCUUUCCACCUGAGCUUGAAAAUAAAAUACAUGUUACACUUGAAUAUC
rnacentral:lncRNA from 1 species